rnacentral:misc_RNA from 1 species
UUGAUUUUAAAGGAUGUGCUGGCCUCUGCCCCCUAAAGGCAUGUGCACUCCUAAUAAAACCAAUAUCCACUUGUGCAUUCCCAGUAGGCCUUUAGGGGUUGCAUUGACUCCUUUUGGUUUCUACGUUUCUUUACAAACUAUUAUUCUCUUAAUUGAAUGCUACUUGCUAUGUGUAACA